rnacentral:lncRNA from 1 species
GUUUUAUAAGGGUCUUUCCCCCUUUUUUCAGGGUACUUCUUGCUGCCACCAUGUGAAGAAAGAUGUAUUUGCUUUCCUUUCCACCAUGACUCAAUUUUCCUUUCUGCUGCCAUGUGAAGAAGGAUGUGUUUGCUUCCCCUUCCACCAUGAUUGUAAGUAUCCUGAGGCCUCCCCAGCCAGGCUGAACUGUGAGUCAAUUAAAUCUCUUUCCUCUAUAAAUGAUCCAGUUUCAGGUAUGUAUUUAUUAACAGCAUGAGAAGGGACCAAUACACCAAGUAAAUAAUAUGGAUUCUAUAGCCAGAGGGCCUGUGUGAAUCCUGGCUCUGCCACUUCCUAGCUGUAUGAAUUUAAUAUCUCUGUGUCUUGGUUACCUCAUCUGUAAAAUGACACGUUAAUUAUACCUAUCUCAUAGAGUUUUGGUAAGGAUUAAAUAUGUUAAUAUACGCUAACACGUAGUACUAGAAUGUUGGCCAUUAUUAUCAUGAUCAUCAUUAUCACUACUACUACUAUUAUUAUUUUUCACUCUCCUCCUAACGUCAAUAUCUGGAGUCUCCUCUCUCACCCACAUCCCUCAUUUUUAGCAUAGGGGAGAUAUGCUGAUGGGUUUCAGUCAAUCAGGCCCCACCUUGGGUGCUCUUUCUGUGGUUCAGUGGGCACUACAGGUGGGGCCUGAUUGACUGAAACCCAUCAACACAUCUCCCCUAACCCAAACAAGGCAGAGAGAAACCUAGCACUUGUGCAGGAAAUGCAGAGAUGCUCAUUCUCCUCCUUACAGGGCUGGGUUGCUGAAGAUGGGAAGCUUACCACCAUUGUGUGAGGAGUGACUGGUAUGCCAAAGGCCCACUUGUAGAGCUUGAGGAUGGAGCCAACCCAGAAGUGAGAGCCAAGAAAAAAUCCUAGUGGCAAAACUGAAUCCUAGAUAAGCCAAACUCAAAAGCCAGCUUCCCUGGAAUGUUCAUUUACAGGACUGUAAAUCACUGCUAUGGUCUGAAUGUUAUGUCUCCACAAAAUUCAUAUGUUGUAACCUUAUCACCAGUGCAACUGUAUUAAGUGGUGGGGACAUUUGAAGGUGAUUAAGUCAUGAGAGCAUCCCCGUGAAGUCAUAUCCUUAUGAAUGGGUUAAGUGCCCUUAUAAAGAUGUCUAAGGGAGCUUGUUCAUUCCUUCUGCCAUGUGAAGGCAUUGUCUAAUAAAAACAGGCACUCAGCCAGGCAUGGUGGCUCACACCUGUAAUCCCAACACUUUGGGAGGCCAAGGCAGGUGAAUCACCUGAGGUCAGGAUUUCGAGACCAGCCUGGUCAGGAUGGUGAAACCCCAUCUCUACUAAAAAAAUACAA